CCCUUAGAUGUUCUGGGCCGCACGCGCGCUACACUGAUGCAUUCAACGAGUCUAAAACCUGCUCUGAUAGGGGUGGGUAAUCUUUUGAAUGUGCAUCGUGAUUGGGAUAGAUGAUUGCAAUUUUUCAUCUUCAACGAGGAAUGCCUAGUAAACGCAAGUCAUCAGCUUGCAUUGAUUACGUCCCUGCCCUUUGUACACACCGCCCGUCGCUCCUACCGAUUGAAUGAUCCGAUGAAUAUCAUAGACUGAGAGUAUAAGCAGGUUCGCCUGCCUUUGCUUCUCGGGAAGUGAAGUAAAUCUUAUCAUUUAGAGGAAGGAGAAGUCGUAACA
rnacentral:rRNA from 1 species